GACGUAGGGCGCGAGCGUUGUCCGGAUUUAUUGGGCGUAAAGAGCUCGUAGGCGGCUUGUCGCGUCGACUGUGAAAUCCCGCGGCUCAACUGCGGGUCUGCAGUCGAUACGGGCAGGCUAGAGUUCGGUAGGGGAGACUGGAAUUCCUGGUGUAGCGGUGAAAUGCGCAGAUAUCAGGAGGAACACCGGUGGCGAAGGCGGCAUCCUGGACCGGUAUUGACGCUGAGGCGCGAAAGCCAGGGGAGCAAACGGG
rnacentral:rRNA from 1 species